GAGACAGCAGCAGCCGCGGGAAUACGUGGGUGGCAAGCGUUGUCCGGAAUUAUUGGGCGUAAAGGGCUCGCAGGCGGUUUCUUAAGUCUGAUGUGAAAGCCCCCGGCUCAACCGGGGAGGGUCAUUGGAAACUGGGAAACUUGAGUGCAGAAGAGGAGAGUGGAAUUCCACGUGUAGCGGUGAAAUGCGUAGAGAUGUGGAGGAACACCAGUGGCGAAGGCGACUCUCUGGUCUGUAACUGACGCUGAGGAGCGAAAGCGUGGGGAGCGAACAGGAUUAGAUACCCCGGUAGUCCCUGUCUCUUAUAA
rnacentral:rRNA from 1 species